rnacentral:rRNA from 1 species
CCUACGGGUGGCAGCAGUGAGGAAUAUUGGUCAAUGGCCGCAAGGCUGAACCAGCCAAGUAGCGUGAGGGAAGACUGCCCUAUGGGUUGUAAACCUCUUUUAUGCGGGGACAAAGGUGUCCACGCGUGGAUGUUUGCAGGUACCGCAUGAAUAAGGACCGGCUAAUUCCGUGCCAGCAGCCGCGGUAAUACGGAAGGUGCGGGCGUUAUCCGGAUUUAUUGGGUUUAAAGGGAGCGUAGGCGGGUCGUUAAGUGUGCCGGGAAAUUUUGGGGCUCAACCAUGAGCGUGCGGUGCGAACUGGAUACCUUGAGUGCGCGGAAGGCAUGCGGAAUGCGUGGUGUAGCGGUGAAAUGCUUAGAUAUCACGAAGAACUCCGAUUGCGAAGGCAGCCUGCCGGCGCGUUACUGACGCUGAAGCACGAAAGCGUGGGUAUCGAACAGGAUUAGAUACCCCAGUAGUC